rnacentral:rRNA from 1 species
CAGGACGAACGCUGGCGGCGUGCUUAACACAUGCAAGUCGAACGGAAAGGCCUUUUCGGAGGUACUCGAGUGGCGAACGGGUGAGUAACACGUGGGUGAUCUGCCCUGCACUCUGGGAUAAGCCUGGGAAACUGGGUCUAAUACCGGAUAGGACCGCACUUUAGUGUGUGUGGUGGAAAGUUUUUUCGGUGUAGGAUGAGCCCGCGGCCUAUCAGCUUGUUGGUGGGGUAAUGGCCUACCAAGGCGGCGACGGGUAGCCGGACUGAGAGGUUGGUCGGCCACAUUGGGACUGAGAUACGGCCCAGACUCCUACGGGAGGCGGCAGUGGGGAAUAUUGCACAAUGGGCGCAAGCCUGAUGCAGCGACGCCGCGUGGGGGAUGACGGCCUUCGGGUUGUAAACUCCUUUCGCCAGGGACGAAGCGUUUUGUGACGGUACCUGGAGAAGAAGCACCGGCUAACUACGUGCCAGCAGCCGCGGUAAUACGUAGGGUGCAAGCGUUGUCCGGAAUUACUGGGCGUAGAGAGCUCGUAGGUGGUUUGUCACGUCGUCUGUGAAAUUCCACAGCUUAACUGUGGGCGUGCAGGCGAUACGGGCUGACUUGAGUACUGUAGGGGUAACUGGAAUUCCUGGUGCAGCGGUGAAAUGCGCAGAUAUCAGGAGGAACACCGAUGGCGAAGGCAGGUUACUGGGCAGUUACUGACGCUGAGGAGCGAAA